CCUGGUUGAUCCUGCCAGUAGUCAUAUGCUUGUCUCAAAGAUUAAGCCAUGCAUGUCUAAGUACAAGCCGAUUUAAGGCGAAACCGCGAAUGGCUCAUUAAAUCAGCUAUGAUUCAUUGGAUCUGUACCCACACUUACUUGGAUAACUGUGGUAAUUCUAGAGCUAAUACAUGCACCACGUCUCUGACCGCAAGGGAAGAGCGCUUUUAUUAGUUCAAAACCGGUCGGGCCUCGGUCCGUCACCCCACCGUGUUGAAUCUGAAUAACUUGUCGCUGAGCGCACGGUCUCCGCACCGGCGCCGCCUCUUUCAAGUGUCUGCCUUAUCAGCUUUCGAUUGUAGGUUAUGCGCCUACAAUGGCUAUAACGGGUAACGGGGAAUCAGGGUUCGAUUCCGGAGAGGGAGCCUGAGAAACGGCUACCACAUCUAAGGAAGGCAGCAGGCACGCAAAUUACCCACUCCCGGCACGGGGAGGUAGUGACGAAAAAUAACGAUGCGAGACUCAUCCGAGGCCUCGCAAUCGGAAUGAGUACACUUUAAAUCCUUUAACGAGGAUCUAUUGGAGGGCAAGUCUGGUGCCAGCAGCCGCGGUAAUUCCAGCUCCAAUAGCGUAUAUUAAAGUUGUUGCGGUUAAAAAGCUCGUAGUUGGAUUUCAGUUCUGGACUGACGGUUCACCGCCCGGUGCAUACUGUCACGCUCCGAACAGCCACAACAGCCCGCUGGCUCGCACGGGUUGCUCUUCACCGAGUGUCCCGCGUGGCCGUGCCCGGAGAUAUUAGCUGUUAGCGUUGAAAGAAGAGCUAGUACGCUCGUAGACGGUGCAGAGAACGAGCGACUCGACCCUGAUUUAGCCCGAGACCCAUUUGCAAUGUUCCUAAUUCGGCCGAAUUGUGCACAUUUAACUCGGGAGACAUCACGGGCUAUACUCUCAUGUCGCCGGCCUGGUCUGGGAUGAACUUUGAUGUGCGUCGCGUGGUCCUCUAUCGUCGAACCCCGAGGUAAUUUGUUAUUGAAUUCGACGCAAGGCGGACAAGGCGCGUGCGGCAGUGUCGUGAAUAUAGUCUCCGCGCGAACGUUCGAGCAGUGCGUAGACGACUGUCAUUGAGCGCGUACGCGCAAGGGUAACGAGUGAGUAUAUCUUGCUCUAAGAGCUCAGUUUCUCAGCCGUCGGAGGCGCGCAGUUGAAUUCGCGUCGAUCAAGAUCUUCAAGGCAGGAUAGAUCGCAUGAUCCCUUACGCAGGUCCUCGACCCUUAACGGAGAGAACGAAGAUCGCAUUGGAGCGGUCUCGAGAAGGCUGACGGGCCUCGAACGUCGCAUACCAUCGCAGUCCGACUGAGUCUAUCUCGAAGUCUCUCACCGCAUCAGACGAUAAGGCGCCUUGCACCCUCUCGACUCGGUGCGAGGGG
rnacentral:rRNA from 1 species